GGAACUCGUCCCCUAAACGGAAAUCAAUGGAGGAGACUAUAUAAGAGAGAAACCCUAGAAAGCAUCUCCAAAAUCAUCAAAAAUGAAUCUUUACAGAUGCCAACAGAAGAAGAAGAAAUCAUAUAAAAAAGGGAAGGGCGUUAUGGAGGCGGAGGCCGAGCCGUCAAAUAAUUAUACAGCAGAGCAGAUGGAUGUUGAUCAGGACACGGGAAUUCACUUUCAAGAGGAAUACUUAUGGAUGUAUACGGUAGAAAAGCCGGAUACGGGCCAAUCCGGGAUAACUAUGGAUCGGAGAAAGAAAAGGGCGAGAGUUCGUACGGGGACAUCACACUUCCGGAUGAGCACUUUAAUCAGGGCCGAGUAGAAGCGCCAUCUGACCCGGUCUCUAAGCCACCGAGGGUUCGGGAUCUCUCCCCGGUGUCUCAUUACCGUUGGUCCGGUAUCCGUGAGCCCGUUGGUCCGGUGCGACCGUUGCAAGACGCGUCAGUGGUGUCACAUCAUGGUCAGCCGCCAACUGUGCGUGUGUCAGACGGCGCCGUCAGUCAAAUCCCACCAAACCCGUGCAGGGGCUGUCCCUUUUAUUACUAUUUUAUUAAACCCACAUUGGGGGAGGCCCAUGGGCUCAUUAGUAUAAACAGAGUGCUCCCUCCUCCCUUAAGGGGGUUGGUUCAUCUUUUACUUUGAAGAAUAUUCUGUAACACAAUAUAUCUAUUGAUCCAG